rnacentral:lncRNA from 1 species
AAGAGCACUGACUGCUCUGCCAGAGGUCCCGAGUUUAAUUCUCAGCAACCACAUGAUAGCUCACAACCAUCUGUAAAUGGGAUCCGAUGCACUCUUCUAGUGUGUGCCUGAAGACAGCUGUAGUGUACUCCCAUAAAAUAAAAUAAAAUAAAAUAAAAUAAAAUAAAAUAAAAUAUCUAAAAACAAACAAGCACACAAGAGCUCAUAUGCUAAAUCAAUUCUCUAUGCAAAACUUGUACAUCAGUUGUAAAAACUAACUCACAGUCAGUCUGGUGAGUGUGCGGUUCAAGCGUGAGGACCUGAAUUCAACCCCCAAAACCUGCAUUUAAAAAGCUGGGUAUAGGGUAUAGGGCAAAGACAGAGAUAGGCAGAUCCUUGCUGUCACUGGCCAGCCAACUUAGCCCAGUUAGCAAGUCCCAAAGAAAGGAGAGAGCUUAUCUCACAAAACAAGAACAGCACUUGAGGAGUGAUCUCUGGUCUUCACACAUGUGCACACACACACAAACACACACACACAGACAUACACACACACACACCACACCACACCACACCACCCCACACCACACAUACACACACAGAUUGAAGUCUUAGAUAAGGAAUAUACUGUCUGGGCUCAUUUUGAAAUCAAGACAGGGAAAUGAGAAUUAGGUUUAUGGUAUGGGAUCCUACAUCAUCCCUAUAAAUGUAUCAGAGCAUUGAUUCUUAUGGAACAGGAGCCACCAAAGCCACAAGCCCCUCCCCCAGGGCCAGUUCAGGGCCCCUGGCUUUUCAUUGCUGGGUUCUCCCUACGAGGCUCCUAACCAGCGUUUUCUGACUUAAGAAACACAGUUUUUUGUACUUUCUAGGCCCAAACCACACAAUUUUCAAGUUAAAUGUUUUCAAAGUGACAUCUGUCCCAGUCAGUUUGUGCAAGCCAACGACAUGUCCCAGAUGGGUAACGGUUACUUUCUCCCAUAUUUGCGAGGAGGGGGGUUGCUUUUUCCAGGAGACAUCUAAUAGGAUGUAGGUUUUUUUUUUUUUCUAUUAAAAAGGAAUGGAAAAAAAUAAAGAUGUGAAAGAGGUGAAAUAAUUAUAAUUGAAACAGGAGGUUAGAGUAGUCAGAGAUCGGACAGUGGCUGGGAGAUUCCAGAGUUUUCUCAUGACUUGUAUGAUCACAUUGGCCUUCAUUAAAGUUCUACUCCAGGGAAUAGUAGAACCUUCUAGACACUUGACUGUGCCAUGGAGAUAGAGUAUACACCUCCUGGGACCCGGUGACUUAAAGGAAGAAACAUAUGUGCAUAUGCUGGUGUGUGCUUGGCUGCCAUUCUCACUGAUAGAUGGAAUGGGAGUUGUGUUGCUGAGGUCUUUUUAAUAUGUAGUCAUACUAUGUAUGUUAUCUGUAGGUCCUUUAAUAGUAUUUGUGGUGGGAACAAGAAUACCCUAGCAGAGAUAUUGACAUUGUACACAUAGCACCUGUGGAUAUCUGGACGCACCCUGCAGAUGGGGCUGUGCAUAUACACUGGGGUGUGGAUCUUAUAGUGUAGGACUUAUCAUUAAUUAUUGAUGUCUGCCCUACUCACAGCCUGGUUUCAUCUGGACUUUCUAGUUGUAGCCAGAGACAGAUUCGAAGAGACAGAGAAAGAUUCAAGGUGGGUGGUGCUGAAGAUAGAGGGAGACCACUCUAGUUUAUUUUCUUUGAUGUGAUGAAAUACUCUUGCUAAGAGCAACUUAGUGGGGGUAGAGGAUUUAUUUCAUCUUAUAGGUCACAGUCUAUCAUUUUGGGAGGUCAAGGCAGAAACCACGGAGGAAUACUAGCUCACUCCCACACUCCUGACUAGGUAGCUUUCUUAUAUAGCCUAGGGCCACAUGCCUAGGGUUGGUGCUGCCCACAGUGGGCUGGGCUUAUCUAUAUCAAUUAGCAAUCAAGAUAAUUCCCCACAGAUAUGCCCAUAGGCCAAUCCCUCACUUGAGAUUCCUUUCUCAGGUAACUCUGGGCUGUGUCAAGGAGGACAACAAUCAUGAGCUAAACAAAUUCUGGAAGCCUCUAGAAACACGGAGAAGGUUUUUCUGAUAGAAUUCUGGUGCCAAAGGCAGGACUUGGCCCAAGACCACCUCUAUUAGACCUCUGCCCUACAGAAACACAAACACACACAAAGGGCAGGGAGAUAGUUCCGUCAGUGAAGCUGUUUGAUGUACAAGCUUGAGGGCCUAAGUUUGGUUCCCCAGUAUCCACAUAAAAGUCGAGAUUCGG